rnacentral:rRNA from 1 species
UACGUAGGGUGCAAGCGUUAAUCGGAAUUACUGGGCGUAAAGCGUGCGCAGGCGGUGAUGUAAGACAGAUGUGAAAUCCCCGGGCUCAACCUGGGAUCUGCAUUUGUGACUGCAUCGCUGGAGUACGGCAGAGGGGGAUGGAAUUCCGCGUGUAGCAGUGAAAUGCGUAGAUAUGCGGAGGAACACCGAUGGCGAAGGCAAUCCCCUGGGCCUGUACUGACGCUCAUGCACGAAAGCGUGGGGAGCAAACAGG